UGAGGAAUAUUGGUCAAUGGGCGGGAGCCUGAACCAGCCAAGCCGCGUGAGGGAAUAAGGCCCUACGGGUCGUAAACCUCUUUUGUCGGGGAACAAAAGCGGGGACGCGUCCCCGUCUGCGUGUACCCGAAGAAAAAGCAUCGGCUAACUCCGUGCC
rnacentral:rRNA from 1 species